rnacentral:rRNA from 1 species
UCCUACGGGGGGCAGCAGUGGGGAAUAUUGCACAAUGGGGGGAACCCUGAUGCAGCGACGCCGCGUGAGUGAAGAAGUAUUUCGGUAUGUAAAGCUCUAUCAGCAGGGAAGAAAAUGACGGUACCUGACUAAGAAGCCCCGGCUAACUACGUGCCAGCAGCCGCGGAAAUACGUAGGGGGCAAGCGUUAUCCGGAUUUACUGGGGGUAAAGGGAGCGUAGCCGGCAGAGAAA